rnacentral:pre_miRNA from 1 species
AGGUCCAUUGCAGGGCAACACUCCGUUGGCAGGUACCCUGCCGCCGGCCACCUGCCAAAGGAGAUUUGCCCGGCGAUGCGCCU